rnacentral:lncRNA from 1 species
GGUGGGCACCGCGGCUCCUUCCGUCCACUCGGGGCCUCUCCGCGCAGACAUCCCGUCUUACAGGGGAAGGAGCCCGGGCUCCGGGGGCGGGGGGCAGGGGGGUCACUCGCCCAGGGACACACACACGCGGACACAGUUUCAAAUCCAGGUGAGCUGCGUCUCCAGCUCAAGUCCUGCAGCCCCUGGACGGCGGUGCAAGGAGGAGGGAAGGCCCAGGUCCCCGCGUCACCACUAGGUGUCGGCCUCGUCUCGGGAGUCCCCGGGCUGGGCUCCUGCCCCCUUCUCUGCGGAGGACGGACGGAGGACGGCGCCUGCAGGGCCGAGGCUGAGGCCGGGUCUGAGGGCUGCGCCUCCGUGUCCGCUCUGGGUCGGCUCCGAGGCCACAGCUCCCGGGAGACGCUGGGGACGCUGGGUGCUGUGAGGCUGGCAUCCUCGAAGCCCAGGAAGGGCUGUGGUCUCUGGGAAUCCAGCCCCACGUAGGUGUGGGGGCCUAGAACCGUCCCCCGAUCCCCCCAGUUCAUCCCCCACUUGGCCGAGCCCCGGGCCCUCUCCUGGCCCCUCGCCAGCAGCGAGCACAGGGCACCCGGGCACGUCCCCCCCGAUCUCCCCGUGAGGAAUCACUUUGCUACUCUUUCCCCCGUAAAUUAAACCUAAUCUUGUGUUGACUCCGCUGAACAAGGAGAAUAAUGAAGAAGAUUAAGAUGAGAUGGUGUUCAUUCUCCUCCGAGGAAAGCCAAUGAAUUGUCACGGGGUCGCCACCCUGAGCCAGGAGCCACCAGGACCCGACAGGGCGGGCAGGGCGGGGGGUGCCUCCCGGGGCUCCAGCUGGGGUCGCAGCCGGGGUCGCAGCCAGAGAGAUUCCCGCUGCACGUGCGGAGGAGCUGCCUGGGUGAGAGAAGGGGCUGACGCCGAGGAGGAGGAGGACGUGCCAGAGACUCGCUUCGUGACCUGUGUCAGCCUCGGGGGCUCCAUCGGGGGUCGCCUUGGAGAAAGGACUGCGUGCAGGGGUGUCCAGCCUCCUCCUCUCCUGUCCCAGGAAUGGGGGCAAGAGCCUGGAUCUGGAGACGGAAGCACCUGGGUUUCACCUGGCUUUGCCCCUCGUCCUCGGCCGCAAAACCCCACCUGCCUCCCUGCUCUGAGGCUCCGGGGAGCUGAAGCUUCCAGGCCCGGUUCCUGGCACCUGCUGGGCCCGUUGUAUGGGGGCCCGACUAGCCUGGCCCAUCUCCUGCCCCGUGCACAGGAUCCCACGGACUCCCCGUAGCCGCCCCUGGGGGAGGCUUCCGUGAUCUCCCCAGCUUAUGACAGGGAAGCGUGAGGUGCCGAGGGGUGGGUGCUGCGGUCCAGGUCACAGACAGGAGCCUGCAGAGCUCGCCGGGGUGCAUGUGGGAGGCCCCGGGCUUGCGCCCCUUCCGACUCCACGGUGCUCCAGUGCCUUCCUGGCGCGGCAGGUCCCCGUUUCAGACUCUCUCGUCUCGCGUCUUGGUCGGGCCCAGAAGUAAACGGAUCGUGUGUGAUUGCGAAAUUCUUGGUAACUCUCGGCAACCCACCCAUCUUACUCCCACUGUAAAAUUCACCCUUCCGUCCCCAUCUCAGGCCUUGCCUCCUGUACGGGAUCCAUAAGGUCUCUGGGGUUGUCUGAGCUCCGCAAGAGCGUCCCCGAAGUCUGCACUUCCUGGCUCAGGGUGUUGCACACCUGCUGCGUGCGCGCCGUGGGCUCGGCGUGGUGCACGGCUUCUGAGCCCUUCCAGCUCUGGCUCCCGGGGAGCACCGGGCAGGUGCAGUCUUGCUGGAACCCACGUCGCGGGGGGAGCCCCGGCCACACCACGGAUUGCCAGUUCUGACCCGCCCUGCGGGGUGACCUUGGCCAAUCAUUUAACCCGCAGCGCCUCAGUUUCCUGGUCCAUAAACAGGGCCUCAGGGGGUUGGCACGAGGACCAAAUGAAUUAGUAUUUGAAAGCCCAAAGCACUAUUCGUGAAGAUCAGGGCCGCACGUAGGGGGUGUUAUGGGUGGGUUUGUUGGAAAGGUAAGAUGGGCGAGUCUGGCAGCUUACGGUCCAGAAGUGAAAGGGCCAGGAGGACACGGCCCACUGCGCUUGGGAACCCCGAGGAGGGGCAUCUAGUCAGCGAGGGCUUCCUGGAGGAAGCAGGGGGUCGAGUCUUGAUCUGAGGAGCAGCAGGGAGGUAAAUCCCUUCCCUAAGCAGCUCUUAGCUUCCCAUCCCCUCGGUUGGGGCCGUGAUACUAACUGGUCGUUUCCUGAGGCUUAUUGUUAUAAUUCAUCAGUGUGCCAGGUGCCCUCACCUUAGCUGGAUUUGAGCCGAAAUCUGAGCCCUGGGGGACCCAGGACUGAGGGCACUGGGCCAAGAGGGUCCUGAACCUUCCCGGACGAUCGAGACCCUGGACGGGGUGGGCAGGUGCACAGAAAUCCCUGCUGGUGAAGCGAGGCCCUCAUGGCCUGCAUGGAGACAAAGAUAUCUCUGGAAAAAAUAAAAAGGCAGGGGGAAAAAAAAGGAAAAGAGAAGCAGGCAGGGAAAUGAUUUUCUCAGCUGGCGUUUCUCAGGGAAUUAAAUCUUGUUUUUCGUCACCACUGAGUGGAAUAAUCCGAUAUAUUAAAGCAGAAGCCCCCCUCCUAUUUAUUGCUGUGACUUUGACCUAACAG